AUAUUUUUUCUUGCAGCAACUUCUGGCUUCAGUAAUAUAGGUAUUUUAUUAGCUUUCAAAUUUUAGGACAUGGGAAUACUACAGUGCACCCAAACGAUAGGUGGAAUCUUUUUUUAUUUGGUCUGGUUUGUCCCCCCCCCCCCCCCCCCCCCCCCCCCCUUUCAAAUUAGAUCAACAUCACCCUUCUAUCUAUUAUCAAUUAUCUCUCUCCAGUCCAACAAUCCAAUUUUCUUCAAAGGAUGACUGAGUCCAAUUAUUGUUGUUUGUACUUUGGCUUUUGGAGUUUGGACUCUUCUUCAACUGGUUGUGUUAUAAAUCUUUUUCCUUUUUAAAUUCAUCAAUUGGGGGAGGGAGGAUUUGAACCUAGGAUGUCUCCUUUGGUGACACAAGAAGGUGUCAAACUAGUUGAACUACAAGGCUCUUGGUGGUUGUGGUAUACAUCAUGAUGGAAGUAAAUGAGCAAAAAACUUGCUCCAAACUUCUGAUAUUGGAAACAAUUAAAAGGAAAUGGUCUACUUUGUCAAGAUGUGCUUUUCCACCAAGAACAUGUUACAUUACAUAGAGCUUAUAGAACUAAUUGUAAUCUUGUAAUUUUCUGAUAUAACAAUCUAUUACUUUCUUAUGACGUGAAUUUCCACUAGAAAGGAUGAUGCAGGACAAAGGGUGGAAAAUAGAAAUAAGGGAAAAUGAAAAAAAAAAAAAAAAUCAAAUAAAAGGACAAUCCUUGGCUUCACCACUUAGAAUUUGCUUGAAACCUUAUUCUUCACCACCUAAGGGUGCUUGGAAUCACAACCAAACUUAGAGAAACAUGUCUAAUAGAAAAAUUCUUAUUCAAAUUGCAUUGUUUCAAACUAUUCUAGGAGCUUCUUUUUAAUAGACUUAAGGAAUUACAUUAAGGCACAAUUACAUCCCAUAAAAUUCUCAAAAUCAAAGCCCAAUUCAAAGUUCAAGGGUCAAAAUCCAAAAAUGAAAUCUAGAAGAUGAUAGGCCAAGAGCCUUGUAGCUCAAUUUCUACCUUCUAAUGUUUUCAAUGGAAACAUACAUGGUUCAAAUCCCCCAACUCCAUUGUAAAUAUUGAAUUAUUAAAAUAAAAUAAAAGAUAUCUAGAAAAAAAUAGGAAAUAAUGAAUUCUGAAAUAAUUUUGGUUGUACGGGUCUAUGUCUAUGGGUUUGAGUGAUAUGGGUUAGCGGGUAAUUUAUUUUUCCUCUGUUGGGUUGCUGUUGGUCGUGAUGGAUAGUUUGUGAGUUUUUUUUUUUUUUUUUUGGGGUGGGGAUCAUGGUGAUUUAUUUGAUGGGUUUAAGGUGUGGGUUUACUAAGGGAAUUCUAGGGCUUCAAGUCUGGAAUGGAGAGGGUUGAUGGGCUUCACAGAUUGUUGAGAAUUGGUGGUAGUGGCCUUCACUAUUUGUUUAGAGGCAGUGGUGGCGGUGCAAAAUUCGUGGGGCAUCAAGAUGUGGUUCACAAUGGUGGUUGGUGGCAGAUUGUAGGUAUUGUGGUGGGUGGAUUCUCAACUGUUUUUGAACAAAACUGGAUUAAG